GUUCUCUAGUCUCUGCACCUUUCAUUGGUUUGGCAAGAGAUCCGCACAUGUGUCCAGGCUGUUGGCCGUCAUCGGCGACAUUAUUUCGCCUGUCUGUGUAUGAGAUAAGGAGUGACGACAGACGAUUGGUAGGGGAUAAGCAAAGGGGAAAAUUGUUUGUUUUUAGCAAAUCCUGCAUGAAGUUUUCUGACUGACGAUGAGUCGCACCAUAAUCACUUUGUACAUAAACGUCUCAUCACUCCGUGUUUCCGUAUCUUGAACAUCCAAGCAUCAACUAAUUCCAAAAUCGUCUGACGCGCGAUACACAUAGGCUUAUUGUGACAAGCUACAGCAAAUUAUAGCAAGUUUUAUUUGGUGAGCUCUAAUCUCUUUUGUUCGUUACCUGUGCACAUGUGUUUUCUCAGGUCCAGAAAAGUUUUUUCAACGCUUGUACCACCAAGUUGUAUGUGAGUUACUCUGGCUUGUCAAUAUGCCUUGUUCAAAGUUGAGAGCUGGAUACUGUCACAGCUCUCUAUCUUCCCAUGUAAUUAUGAUAAUAGGAGCUUUAUGAGGUAUGGAGUAAAUUGAAUGCGUCUUUGUUGAAUCUAGAUGAUCCAGAAUGGCGAAUUGUUACAAGUAGAACAACUAAUCAAAGUAAUAGACAUACACAUAUAUGAAAUAUGUUUCAUAUGGAUAGGAAAUUACUUUGAAAUUUGACAAGCAUUGCAAUAAAUAUGUUGGUUCGGAAGUAAUAUUACUAGAUACUUAUUUUUACAGAUUGCAAUAUUCUCUUCACUAAUUCAUAGAUUGAUCUUAGAACAAAUGAAGAACUUUACAUGUUAUUGGAUUAACAAAUAAAAUGUAUUGUUCCUCACAAAUGGUAUGCAGAGGAGUAAUGAAAAUAAAAGACAGGUGUAUAUUACAGUUCAAGUGACGCGAGAGACUGAAAUACUAUUUAUACAAAUUGCGGAUGGAUGGAUACUGUGAAAAAUCUUUCACAUACUGAUUGUAGGAAAGCAGAGAUGGAAAAUGAAGCAACGUAUUUUAAAAUUGAAUCCCUAAGUAUAGCAUGUAGAUAAUAUUUUGAGUGUUGAUGGAGGACAAAAUUAUGCACAUUCCUUUUUCAAUUCCAAGGAAUUGCAUCAUCGAUGAGUCGGUUGUCAAAACAUGAUGGAAAUAGCUCAUUGUUAAUUGAACAAGUUUGAUAUAAUUACACAACCUAAAGAUUUAACUUGAAAUUUGUUCGAAGAAAUUUACUUUUACUUAUACGUGAUGUCAAGUGCGGUAUUAAGUAUCAUGCUUUCAUAACUAUUGUUUUAAAUAUUUUUGUGUUGAAAUAUUGUCGUUUGGGUGUCUGUUCUGUACUACAGGAGUACCCGAAAUAAUUUUACUCGUCGUGU